UCCCUAUUCCACAAAACACAAUAUAUGCAAAAUUUCAAUCCACUCAUGUUAGGCCGAAUCUUACCCAUAUUCAUACAAGUCCAGAUAUUUUAUUUAUUUCACAUUUUAGUCCCUCAAAUUAUUAUUUUUUACAAUUUAGUCCUAAUUACUUAAAAUCAUCAAUAACUCCAAUACAAAACAUGUUAAUCUAAAACAUAUCUUUCAUAUUUCAUCAUCAAACAACAAAAAUCAUAAGCUCUCAUCAAUGGCAUAACUCAAAAU
rnacentral:lncRNA from 1 species